AGUAGUCCGCACAUGUACUCUGUUGGAAACCUCAUUAGGUACCUUGUGGCCUGCAUGGAAUGUCACAGGAAAGAUCAGAUUCAAACAACAACACAAGUGUAACCAGGAGCAAGAGGGUAUUGAUUGAUUACCAUCUACGAAGACACCUGUAAGUUUCCUUUCAACAUUUUUUUGUUUUUUGAGUAUUUUGAUGAACAAGUGCUCUGUGUAUCCCUUAACUUAUUAACGAGAGUGCAAACUCGAACCUGGGCUAUCCACCAUCUUCUAUCCAUUUUACGAUGAUUUGUGAUCAGUCUCUCCUUUAUCUCUGUUGUCGGUUGCAAAUAUUUCCAUGGCUCCCCCCACAUUCUACAGUAUAAGAAAUGUUACAGAACUCCUAUAGAAAUUGUAGCAGGAAAGGAUAACUAAUAAGGCAAAAUUAGCUCUAAUUAUCUUUCUCUGGGACAAGUAGCAAACAUGUGGAGUCUGAAAAGCUUAAGAGGUAAUAAUUGCGGAAAGGAACUCAUACUGCUGAGUGCUGACCAGCACAGUGGGAGACAGAGAGAGAGGAGAGAAAUAUAGAUCAAACUGAAAUUGUACCUAGGUAUGCGUCCAACCCAUAUUUGCUUGGAGGUAUAGUUCUCCUUCACUUUUACCAAUCCCUUGGCCCAAGAGGCUUUGCUCUGCAUGAGCUCAAAAGCCCGCUUGCGGCAGUCUGAAGAUGUCUCGAUAAAAAAGUAACAAGACCAACUAGAUCUUGAAGCACCUAAAAGAUAAAACCAAAAUUCAGUGCAGCAAAAAGUAGCACUGCACUCAGUAUUACCAUGGCAGACAGGGCUAUUACCAUGGCAACCGUUGUGAUCAGCCCGGUUAUAGUAGUUUGUAACCAGAAUCCUUUUCUCUUUCAUGGCAAUGGCAAGAAGUCCUGCCAUUCCAGCAAGUUGUGCACCAAUACCAAAUCCAGGUAGCCUCUCCCAAUCUGCAACAAGAAACCUCAAGCUUGGAUCGCUGCAGUUUGGAGGAUGCUGAUGAAUCCAUAUAUCUCUCUGUACUUGUCUGGUCAAUGGGUAGUUUUCUUCAUCAGAUCCUACAAUCUUUUAUUUUCAUUCCUAAGUUAGAUUUGCAUGUGCAACAUUAACAAAACAAUUAUAUGUUCAGGCAAGAUUGCAUACCCAGGGAGGAUAUUGUCUAUACUGAUUUGCAUUUUCUGAGUAUUUUUGGUUCAAAAGUUCAAGCUCAAGUGAUCCUUUCCAUAAUGUCCAAUGAGGAAAUGUGCCAUUAUCGCCGUAGUUGUCAAAUCGUUUAUAUCUUUCUGCAUUAAGCCUGCAGUCAUCCAGAUGAGGUGGCUGCGGGACGUCUGAACUUUUCAGAACUUCAUCACCGGUAGUGUUGAGCAUAGUGCUCCAAGCAUUGUACAGUUGCACCAUUCUAGCUUCAGUGGUGUGCUCAUUUCUAUCUUGUUCCUCUAUCUUCUCUUGUGCAGAAGCCAACUCAUCUGUUGUUGCAGCCCCGUCUGCUCCAAAGAACAAUAGUUACAGGUUGACAGGCAUGGGCACAGCAAAACAAAGGAGAAACCUGAGUUAUCCAAUGAUACAAGUUGCAGCCAUAAGAAACUGCCAAGGAAGUGUAAUGCAUUGAGAAUAUCAUACAGCAAAAUGAUGUUGCACGAGUUUCAGAUGGGGCUGUUAAUGUAGUAUGUAUGGUCUAUGACCCACAGUUGUUUUCUUCAGUAGAAUAUAAGCUGACACAUACAGUACAAUUGUUGGUAGCUUCUGAAGAACAUAAAUGAUGCACUGCAUGCAGCAGUUCUGUUCGAUGAUUAAUCACUAGAGCAGUAAAAACUUGCAUUCCGUUAGGAUUGGGCAAAUUCAGGUAUGCUGCAGUAAGAGAUGGUGUCCG
rnacentral:lncRNA from 1 species